GAAGUUCGUUCUGAAAUGGAUCGGUUGGUGUUUUGCAUAGUUCUAGAGAUUGGAUUUCACUCAAAACAUGCCAAAUGACUCCUCCAACCAUACUAUGAUGUUCCCCAAGUUUUGGUCUCAAUCCGAUAUCGAUUGGUCCACGAAAUUGGACAAUUCAAUUUCGUACGAAGUCCGUUCUGAAAUGGAGUGGUUGGUGUAUUCCAUAGUUCUAGGGAUUGGAUUGCACUCAAAACCAACCACAUGACUCCU
rnacentral:lncRNA from 1 species